CGCGGCCUAUCAGCUUGUUGGUGAGGUAAUGGCUCACCAAGGCUUCGACGGGUAGCCGGCCUGAGAGGGCGACCGGCCACACUGGGACUGAGAUACGGCCCAGACUCCUACGGGAGGCAGCAGUGGGGAAUAUUGCACAAUGGGCGCAAGCCUGAUGCAGCAACGCCGCGUGCGGGAUGACGGCCUUCGGGUUGUAAACCGCUUUCAGUAGGGACGAAGCUAACGUGACGGUACCUACAGAAGAAGGACCGGCUAACUACGUGCCAGCAGCCGCGGUGAUACGUAGGGUCCGAGCGUUGUCCGGAAUUAUUGGGCGUAAAGGGCUUGUAGGCGGUCCGUCGCGUCAGGAGUGAAAACUCGGGGCUUAACCCCGAGCCUGCUUUUGAUACGGGCGGACUAGAGGGAUGCAGGGGAGAACGGAAUUCCUGGUGGAGCGGUGGAAUGCGCAGAUAUCGGGAGGAACACCGGUGGCGAAGGCGGUUCUCUGGGCAUCACCUGACGCUGAGAAGCGAAAGCGUGGGGAGCAAACAGGCUUAGAUACCCUGGUAGUCCACGCCGUAAACGGUGGGCACUAGGUGUGGGGGACAUUCCACGUUCUCCGUGCCGAAGCUAACGCAUUAAGUGCCCCGCCUGGGGAGUACGG
rnacentral:rRNA from 1 species